UACAUGGGGUGCAAACGUUGCUCGGAAUCACUGGGCGUAAAGGGCGUGUAGGCGGGAAGGAUAGUCAGAUGUGAAAGCCCUGGGCUCAACCCAGGAACUGCAUUUGAAACUCCCUUUCUUGAGUGUCGGAGAGGAAAGCGGAAUUCCUGGUGUAGAGGUGAAAUUCGUAGAUAUCAGGAGGAACACCGGUGGCGAAGGCGGCUUUCUGGACGACAACUGACGCUGAGACGCGAAAGCGUGGGGAGCAAACGGG
rnacentral:rRNA from 1 species